GCCGUCGUGGCGGAACUGGCAGACGCGCUGGACUCAAAAUCCAGUGGUGCUUAAACACCGUGUGGGUUCGAUUCCCUCCGACGGCACCA
rnacentral:tRNA from 1 species